UACAGAGGGGGCAAGCGUUAUUCGGAAUUAUUGGGCGUAAAGGGCGCGUAGGCGGCCUGGCAAGUGGAAGGUGAAAUCCCUCGGCUUAACCGAGGAACUGCCCUCCAAACUGCUUGGCUUGAGACCGGGAGAGGUGAGUGGAAUCCCCAGUGUAGCGGUGAAAUGCGUAGAUAUUGGGAGGAACACCAGUGGCGAAGGCGGCUCACUGGACCGGUACUGACGCUGAGGCGCGAAAGCGUGGGGAGCAAACGGG
rnacentral:rRNA from 1 species